rnacentral:rRNA from 1 species
CAGUAGCCGCGGGAACACGUAGGGUGCGAGCGUUAAUCGGAAUUACUGGGCGUAAAGCGUGCGCAGGCGGUUUUGCAAGACAGGCGUGAAAUCCCCGGGCUCAACCUGGGAAUGGCGCUUGUGACUGCAAAGCUAGAGUGCGGCAGAGGGGGAUGGAAUUCCGCGUGUAGCAGUGAAAUGCGUAGAUAUGCGGAGGAACACCGAUGGCGAAGGCAAUCCCCUGAGCCUGCACUGACGCUCAUGCACGAAAGCGUGGGGAGCAAACAGGAUUAGAUACCCCUGUAGUCCCUGUCUCUUAUAA